AUGGAGCCGUACGUCGUCGCCCCCUAUCUUCGCGCCUACCUACACCGAUUCGCAGCUUCGGUGUCCGCGGCGAGCUGCGACGCGGGGGAGGUGGGCGGCGAUGUAUGCCGCGACGAGGAGGCCGCGUUGCGGCUCAAAAUGGUCGCCGUCGCGGCCAUCCUUGUCGCGGGGGCCGCCGGCGUCGCCAUCCCGCUCGUUGGCCGUAGGUGGCGUGGCGCGGAUGCAGCCGGUGGUGGCGGGUCGACGUUCGUGCUAGCCAAGGCCUUCGCGGCGGGGGUGAUCCUGGCCACGGGGUUCGUGCACAUGAUGCACGACGCCGAAGAGAAAUUCCAGGACCCUUGCCUCCAGGGCUCGCCGUGGCGGCGGUUCCCUUUCGCGGGCUCCAUCGCCAUGCUCGCCAGCCUCGUGACGCUCGUCGUGGACUUCCUCGGCACCCAGUUUUACGAGUGCAAACAGCGCGAGGCCGCCGCCUUCGCCGCAACGAGCGCCCAAGAUGAGACGGCGGCGUCGCUGCUGGAGGACGGGAGGAAUGCAGGGGGCGAGAAGCGUGAAGGAGGGGUGCACGACGGCCACGGCCAUGGUCACGGGAACGAGGCGGGCCCGUCCCAAGCUCGUCAGGUGGUUGUUUCCCAGGUACGAAGACAGUGGUUACCCAGCAUAAUCGUAAUGAACUCAUAUACGGAGUACUAG
rnacentral:rRNA from 1 species